ensembl:lncRNA
GCAGAGGGGUGUGUGGGGCGGGGGGGACCCAAAAGAAGAUGUCAUAGGUCAUCUCUACAGACCCAAAAGAAGAUGUCGUAGGUCAUCUCUACAGACCCCACAGAGGAUGUCAUGACAGGUCAUCUCUACAGACCCAACAGAGGAUGUCAUGACAGGUCAUCUCUACAGACCCAACAGAGGAUGUCAUGACAGGUCAUCUCUACAGACCCCACAGUGGAUGACAUGACAGGUCAUCUCUACAGACCCAAUAGAGGAUGUCAUGACAGGUCAUCUGUACAGACCCCACAGAGGAUGUCAUGACAGGUCAUCUCUACAGACCCCACAGAGGAUGUCAUGACAGGUCAUCUCUACAGACCCAACAGAGGAUGUCAUGACAGGUCAUCUGUACAGACCCCACAGAGGAUGUCAUGACAGGUCAUCUCUACAGACCCCAC